AUUGAACGCUGGCGGCAGGCCUAACACAUGCAAGUCGAGCGGAUCGGCGGACGGGUGCGUAAUGCCUAGGACUCUGCCUGGUAGUGGGGGAUAACGUCCGGAACCGGGCGCUAAUACCGCAUCCUCUCAGAUGCGCCUAGGUCGGAUUAGCUAGUUGGUGGGGUAAAGGCCUACCAAGGCGACGAUCCGUAACUGGUCUGAGAGGAUGAUCAGUCACACUGGAACUGAGACACGGUCCAGACGCCUACGGGAGGCAGCAGUGGGGGAUAUUGCACAAUGGGCGAAAGCCUGAUCCAGCCAUGCCGCGUGUGUGAAGAAGGUCUUCGGAUUGUAAAGCACUUUAAGUUGGGAGGCGUUACCAACAGAAUAAGCACCGGCUAACUUCGUGCCAGCAGCCGCGGUAAUGC
rnacentral:rRNA from 1 species